ensembl:lincRNA Gm43021 predicted gene 43021
AUAUUGUGCAGACAAGUGAAGAGGGCCUCCAAGGAGGAAAAGUGGUUGAAAUCACACCCUGAAAGUGCUGCUGGAUCCCUAAGGACCCUGAGCAACUUCAGACUAGGAGAGAGAUUCUUCGGAGAGAAGGUAAGCAUUACAUCAUGGGCUGAGCUUUCCUGAACCAUGUGCUGCUGUCCCUUAUGAAGGAAAUCACUUCCUCCCAUCAGGAUUUGAGAUGAAUUCAGUAUCCAGAUUAAGUGAAGAAUGAUGCCACAGCACUACAGACAGAACAACUUGUAGAAGAUACUCUAGAGGACUGGAUUCAGUGGAAGGUGAGAACCACCCAACUGAAAGU